CCUACGGGUGGCUGCAGUGGGGAAUAUUGGACAAUGGGGGGAACCCUGACCAGCCAUGCCGCGUGUGUGAAGAAGGCCCUCGGGUUGUAAAGCACUUUCAGUGAGGAAGAACGCCUGGUGGUUAAUACCCAUCAGGAAAGACAUCACUCACAGAAGAAGCACCGGCUAACUCCGUGCCAGCAGCCGCGGUAAUACGGAGGGUGCGAGCGUUAAUCGGAAUUACUGGGCGUAAAGCGCGCGUAGGUGGCUUGAUAAGCCGGUUGUGAAAGCCCCGGGCUCAACCUGGGAACGGCAUCCGGAACUGUCAAGCUAGAGUGCAGGAGAGGAAGGUAGAAUUCCCGGUGUAGCGGUGAAAUGCGUAGAGAUCGGGAGGAAUACCAGUGGCGAAGGCGGCCUUCUGGACUGACACUGACACUGAGGUGCGAAAGCGUGGGUAGCAAACAGGAUUAGAUACCCUUGUAGUC
rnacentral:rRNA from 1 species